CAAUGAUUAAGGCCCGAUUGUACAUUGGCGGCUUAAGCUAUGGCUUAGUUGAACCGGGUUCAAUUUUGAGCGUCGGUUUAACUUCAUUCGGGUUGUUCAAUGCCGAGUUCAGUUAAGCCGAGGUUCAUACAAAUUUUGGUAAGGUUGGCAACGUAAGGCAUGCGUAUUCAAAGCAAUUCCCGUCAAUUCUCGACAUAAAUUUUCCCGCCAUUUAUGUAUUAUUAUUUGGUUUUUGUCAAUAUAAUUCUUUUAUUACUGUUAUUAGUUUAAUCGGUAUUUUCUAUCGUUUAGUUUAUCAGUUUAAUCAAUUUCCUACGUUAAAUUUGUGAACAGACCAUUUGAAUAGCUUGUGAUGAAGGAUUGCGUAAGGGUGUUAUCAGGUUUUCUUGACUCCGUAACCACUAUCACCAAAGAAGAUACUAAUUCAAUCUUCACAUUCUCUUCUCAUAAAUAUUUAACUGUUUACAGCUAUGAUUUCAAAUUCACUCAAAAAUGUUAAUAUUUGCCUUAUUCUAGGGAAGUAGUUAGGUAAUUUAAAUAAUUUUAGAAGGUAAAUUAGUUUGUAAUUAUUAUUAAAUAAAGUGAUAAUAUGUACCUACAUAAGCAUGGUACAAAUAUAAUUAAUUUAAGAUUUAUUAAUAAAUUAUGUACAUCUAAUUUAAUAAAUUAACAAAAUCGUUUUCUACAUUUGCUUCAAAAUCAUUCACAAGUUGCAAAAAGGAGCCUGUUGCUUAAAACCAGUGAUAUGGGCCCACUUCACUGCACAAAACCUUAAUUUAAGGCAAUAAAAACAAUGUUCUUAGAAGAUACAGCUUGGUUCUUGAAAUGUCAAUAACAAAUUUGCCACUUGUUUUCGUUCUCGUUCUUACCUAUCUGUUCGAUUUUUUAUUCUAUGAGCAAUACUAGUUUCAUACAAAUAGUGAACAGUGAACAGAUAUCCAAAAUCUUU